rnacentral:rRNA from 1 species
GGUUAAGCGACUAAGCGUACACGGUGGAUGCCCUGGCAGUCAGAGGCGAUGAAGGACGUGCUAAUCUGCGAUAAGCGUCGGUAAGGUGAUAUGAACCGUUAUAACCGGCGAUUUCCGAAUGGGGAAACCCAGUGUGUUUCGACACACUAUCAUUAACUGAAUCCAUAGGUUAAUGAGGCGAACCGGGGGAACUGAAACAUCUAAGUACCCCGAGGAAAAGAAAUCAACCGAGAUUCCCCCAGUAGCGGCGAGCGAACGGGGAGCAGCCCAGAGCCUGAAUCAGUGUGUGUGUUAGUGGAAGCGUCUGGAAAGGCGCGCGAUACAGGGUGACAGCCCCGUACACAAAAAUGCACAUGCUGUGAGCUCGAUGAGUAGGGCGGGACACGUGGUAUCCUGUCUGAAUAUGGGGGGACCAUCCUCCAAGGCUAAAUACUCCUGACUGACCGAUAGUGAACCAGUACCGUGAGGGAAAGGCGAAAAGAACCCCGGCGAGGGGAGUGAAAAAGAACCUGAAACCGUGUACGUACAAGCAGUGGGAGCACGCUUAGGCGUGUGACUGCGUACCUUUUGUAUAAUGGGUCAGCGACUUAUAUUCUGUAGCAAGGUUAACCGAAUAGGGGAGCCGAAGGGAAACCGAGUCUUAACUGGGCGUUAAGUUGCAGGGUAUAGACCCGAAACCCGGUGAUCUAGCCAUGGGCAGGUUGAAGGUUGGGUAACACUAACUGGAGGACCGAACCGACUAAUGUUGAAAAAUUAGCGGAUGACUUGUGGCUGGGGGUGAAAGGCCAAUCAAACCGGGAGAUAGCUGGUUCUCCCCGAAAGCUAUUUAGGUAGCGCCUCGUGAAUUCAUCUCCGGGGGUAGAGCACUGUUUCGGCAAGGGGGUCAUCCCGACUUACCAACCCGAUGCAAACUGCGAAUACCGGAGAAUGUUAUCACGGGAGACACACGGCGGGUGCUAACGUCCGUCGUGAAGAGGGAAACAACCCAGACCGCCAGCUAAGGUCCCAAAGUCAUGGUUAAGUGGGAAACGAUGUGGGAAGGCCCAGACAGCCAGGAUGUUGGCUUAGAAGCAGCCAUCAUUUAAAGAAAGCGUAAUAGCUCACUGGUCGAGUCGGCCUGCGCGGAAGAUGUAACGGGGCUAAACCAUGCACCGAAGCUGCGGCAGCGACGCUUAUGCGUUGUUGGGUAGGGGAGCGUUCUGUAAGCCUGUGAAGGUGUGCUGUGAGGCAUGCUGGAGGUAUCAGAAGUGCGAAUGCUGACAUAAGUAACGAUAAAGCGGGUGAAAAGCCCGCUCGCCGGAAGACCAAGGGUUCCUGUCCAACGUUAAUCGGGGCAGGGUGAGUCGACCCCUAAGGCGAGGCCGAAAGGCGUAGUCGAUGGGAAACAGGUUAAUAUUCCUGUACUUGGUGUUACUGCGAAGGGGGGACGGAGAAGGCUAUGUUGGCCGGGCGACGGUUGUCCCGGUUUAAGCGUGUAGGCUGGUUUUCUAGGCAAAUCCGGAAAAUCAAGGCUGAGGCGUGAUGACGAGGCACUACGGUGCUGAAGCAACAAAUGCCCUGCUUCCAGGAAAAGCCUCUAAGCAUCAGGUAACAUCAAAUCGUACCCCAAACCGACACAGGUGGUCAGGUAGAGAAUACCAAGGCGCUUGAGAGAACUCGGGUGAAGGAACUAGGCAAAAUGGUGCCGUAACUUCGGGAGAAGGCACGCUGAUAUGUAGGUGAGGUCCCUCGCGGAUGGAGCUGAAAUCAGUCGAAGAUACCAGCUGGCUGCAACUGUUUAUUAAAAACACAGCACUGUGCAAACACGAAAGUGGACGUAUACGGUGUGACGCCUGCCCGGUGCCGGAAGGUUAAUUGAUGGGGUUAGCGCAAGCGAAGCUCUUGAUCGAAGCCCCGGUAAACGGCGGCCGUAACUAUAACGGUCCUAAGGUAGCGAAAUUCCUUGUCGGGUAAGUUCCGACCUGCACGAAUGGCGUAAUGAUGGCCAGGCUGUCUCCACCCGAGACUCAGUGAAAUUGAACUCGCUGUGAAGAUGCAGUGUACCCGCGGCAAGACGGAAAGACCCCGUGAACCUUUACUAUAGCUUGACACUGAACAUUGAGCCUUGAUGUGUAGGAUAGGUGGGAGGCUUAGAAGUGUGGACGCCAGUCUGCAUGGAGCCGACCUUGAAAUACCACCCUUUAAUGUUUGAUGUUCUAACGUUGACCCGUAAUCCGGGUUGCGGACAGUGUCUGGUGGGUAGUUUGACUGGGGCGGUCUCCUCCUAAAGAGUAACGGAGGAGCACGAAGGUUGGCUAAUCCUGGUCGGACAUCAGGAGGUUAGUGCAAUGGCAUAAGCCAGCUUGACUGCGAGCGUGACGGCGCGAGCAGGUGCGAAAGCAGGUCAUAGUGAUCCGGUGGUUCUGAAUGGAAGGGCCAUCGCUCAACGGAUAAAAGGUACUCCGGGGAUAACAGGCUGAUACCGCCCAAGAGUUCAUAUCGACGGCGGUGUUUGGCACCUCGAUGUCGGCUCAUCACAUCCUGGGGCUGAAGUAGGUCCCAAGGGUAUGGCUGUUCGCCAUUUAAAGUGGUACGCGAGCUGGGUUUAGAACGUCGUGAGACAGUUCGGUCCCUAUCUGCCGUGGGCGCUGGAGAACUGAGGGGGGCUGCUCCUAGUACGAGAGGACCGGAGUGGACGCAUCACUGGUGUUCGGGUUGUCAUGCCAAUGGCACUGCCCGGUAGCUAAAUGCGGAAGAGAUAAGUGCUGAAAGCAUCUAAGCACGAAACUUGCCCCGAGAUGAGUUCUCCCUGACCCUUUAAGGGUCCUGAAGGAACGUUGAAGACGACGACGUUGAUAGGCCGGGUGUGUAAGCGCAGCGAUGCGUUGAGCUAACCGGUACUAAUGAACCGUGAGGCUUAACCUU